rnacentral:rRNA from 1 species
CCUGGCGGCCGUAGCGCGGUGGUCCCACCUGACCCCAUGCCGAACUCAGAAGUGAAACGCCGUAGCGCCGAUGGNCGCAGGCUGCGCCGGAU